rnacentral:tRNA from 1 species
GCCGGGAUGCCCGAGAGGUCCAAGAUCCCCCGAGCACGUUUGGGGGGAUGGGAUGGGCCGGCCUUGAGAGCCGGUGGGGCGUUGCCCCGCGUGGGUUCGAAUCCCACUCCCGGCGCCA